AUUAUCGUAGGGCUUCGGCCCUGUCGAGAUAGAACCCUUGCCUUUUUGAGUACCUUUCGUUUCCUCGGCAGGCUCGCCUGCCAAUGGGGACCACAAAAAACACUUUGCAGUACCUGUAACAGUCUGAACAAACAAAACAAAAAUUAAAACUUUCAACGACGGAUCUCUUGGUUCUGGCAUCGAUGAAGAACGCAGCGAAAUGCGAUAAGUAGUGUGAAUUGCAGAAUUCAGUGAAUCAUCGAAUCUUUGAACGCACAUUGCGCCCUUUGGUAUUCCUUAGGGCAUGCCUGUUCGAGCGUCAUUUAAACCUUCAAGCUAAGCUUGGUGUUGGGUGACUGUCCGCUUCACUGCGGACUCGCCUCAAAAUUAUUGGCGGCCGGUACAUUGGCUUCGAGCGCAGCAGAAACGCGAACUCGGGCCCGUCGUAUUGGCUCCCAGAAGCUAUCUUCACAAUUUUGACCUCGGAUCAGGUAGGGAUACCCGCUGAACUUAAGCAUAUCAAUAAGCGGAGGA
rnacentral:rRNA from 1 species